GAUGAACGCUGGCGGCGUGCUUAACACAUGCAAGUCGAACGGGAAACCUUUUAUUGAAGCUUCGGCAGAUUUAGCUGGUUUCUAGUGGCGGACGGGUGAGUAACGCGUGGGUAACCUGCCUUAUACAGGGGGAUAACAACCAGAAAUGGUUGCUAAUACCGCAUAAGCGCACAGGACCGCAUGGUCCGGUGUGAAAAACUCCGGUGGUAUAAGAUGGACCCGCGUUGGAUUAGCUAGUUGGCAAGGUAACGGCCUACCAAGGCGACGAUCCAUAGCCGGCCUGAGAGGGUGAACGGCCACAUUGGGACUGAGACACGGCCCAGACUCCUACGGGAGGCAGCAGUGGGGAAUAUUGCACAAUGGGGGAAACCCUGAUGCAGCGACGCCGCGUGAAGGAAGAAGUAUCUCGGUAUGUAAACUUCUAUCAGCAGGGAAGAUAGUGACGGUACCUGACUAAGAAGCCCCGGCUAACUACGUG
rnacentral:rRNA from 1 species